GGCACUCUGGCGGAGUGGUUAACGCGCUGCCCUGCUAUCCUAUCAGAGUAGUAAGCAGUCCUAGGCAGUUCCUUCGGGAGCGUGUGUUCGAAUCACACGGGUGUCG